GACGAACGCUGGCGGCGUGCUUAACACAUGCAAGUCGAACGGAAAGGCCCUGCUUUUGUGGGGUGCUCGAGUGGCGAACGGGUGAGUAACACGUGAGUAACCUGCCCUUGACUUUGGGAUAACUUCAGGAAACUGGGGCUAAUACCGGAUAGGAGCUCCUGCUGCAUGGUGGGGGUUGGAAAGUUUCGGCGGUUGGGGAUGGACUCGCGGCUUAUCAGCUUGUUGGUGGGGUAGUGGCUUACCAAGGCUUUGACGGGUAGCCGGCCUGAGAGGGUGACCGGCCACAUUGGGACUGAGAUACGGCCCAUACUCCUACGGGAGGCAGCAGUGGGGAAUAUUGCACAAUGGGCAGAAGCCUGAUGCAGCAACGCCGCGUGCGGGAUGACGGCCUUCGGGUUGUAAACCGCUUUCGCCUGUGACGAAGCGUGAGUGACGGUAAUGGGUAAAGAAGCACCGGCUAACUACGUG
rnacentral:rRNA from 1 species